UACGUAGGGAGCGAGCGUUGUCCGGAUUUAUUGGGCGUAAAGAGCGCGUAGGCGGCUUGGUAAGCCGGGUGUGAAACCCCCGAGCUCAACUCGGGGCGGCCAUUCGGAACUGCUAUGGCUAGAGUCUGGUAGGGGAACACGGAAUACCUGGUGUAGCGGUGAAAUGCUUAGAUAUCAGGUGGAACACCAGUGGCGAAGGCGGUGUUCUGGGCCAGUACUGACGCUGAGGCGCGAAAGCGUGGGGAGCGAACAGG
rnacentral:rRNA from 1 species